rnacentral:lncRNA from 1 species
UUGCUGGAUGUGGAAAGAACUUUGUAGUGCACUGCAUCGCGAUUGUUCAGACUUCAAAGCAGCCCUUAGAAAAACUGUAAAUAAGGACUAAGGCAUAAAAAUAUACCAGCACCUGGGAAUACUCAGCACACUGCACACCAGAACAGAAUCCAAGCCCUGGCAAAGAGCCAGCCACCGGGAAUAAAUCUGGAAGGGUUUAAUACAUGCUGAAGAACCGAACCACUUUGAAACAAACUAGAGUAUCCCUAAGUUACGGAGAGGAAGGAAUUUUUGCCAAGAUAUACAUCAGGAAGAUCCUACUCUCUGGAUUUUGUUUUCUGAAACAGCAAACUGCUAUCACAUUUGUUUUUGUUUUUCUGAAAAGAUUUCUGUUGUCCCUACUGGCAGACUUUUAAUGGUCAACACCCUAAUUAAUAUUGUCUCACACACCAAGCAAGUGACUAUAAUUAUUUUGAUAUCAUCACCACUUAGCCUAGGUUUAUUCUAGUAGUACAAGAUAUGUGGAGUAAAAACCUUAUUGUCUACAGGAAUCCUUUAGAAUAUGUUUGGUAAUAUUUUUUUUCCACAAUGGCAUAAAGAAUGUGGAGGAAGGAUGCCAGUAUAAGUAGGUAUGCUCCCUCAUAACAUCAUUUUGUCCAUUCUAAUUACUUAGAAAGCAGAAUUAUACUACUGUUUCCUGCAGCUACAAGGAAAUAGCAUAUUAGUUGCUUUUAUGAAUUUGAAACAAACUGAUACUGUACAUUUUAUUUACUUAUCAGUUCCAUAACUUACAAGCAGGCCUUUGAAGGCCUGCAUGAAGGUGUUCAUCCACACAGGAGGUAGGAGAAAGAAUAACAGAUAUACCUGAGUAAUUUCUGCUGGAAGUAAGGUCAGAAUUGGGUAGAGAUAUAUGCAUUGACUGUAAUUCAGGAAUUAUCUGAAGAUGACUAAUUAUAUAAAAUGCACUGUUUCAAUAUAUGAAACCUUAUUUGAAGCCCAUUACAAUCAAUAGAAAGAUUUGGCGUUUGUUCAAGCUUUUAAACUGGAGAAAAGUCUGUGAUAUACGACCCACUGUCAUAUUGUCACAAAGUUAUUUAAAUGAUAAUGGCCUUUUCAAUUAAACUAUUUAUUUGAAGAAACAACAGCUUGUUUUAUUGUGAUCCUUUCUCCCUGUAUAUAAUUUUUGUUAACCAAG